GACGAACGCUGGCGGCGUGCCUAAUACAUGCAAGUAGAACGCACAGUUUAUACCGUAGCUUGCUACACCAUAAACUGUGAGUUGCGAACGGGUGAGUAACGCGUAGGUAACCUGCCUGGUAGCGGGGGAUAACUAUUGGAAACGAUAGCUAAUACCGCAUAAUAUUAAUUAUUGCAUGAUAAUUGAUUGAAAGAUGCAAUUGCAUCACUACCAGAUGGACCUGCGUUGUAUUAGCUAGUAGGUGAGGUAACGGCUCACCUAGGCAACGAUACAUAGCCGACCUGAGAGGGUGAUCGGCCACACUGGGACGGAGACACGGCCCAGACUCCUACGGGAGGCAGCAGUAGGGAAUCUUCGGCAAUGGACGAAAGUCUGACCGAGCAACGCCGCGUGAGUGAAGAAGGUUUUCGGAUCGUAAAGCUCUGUUGUAAGAGAAGAACGGGUGUGAGAGUGGAAAGUUCACACUGUGACGGUAUCUUACCAGAAAGAGACGGCUAACUACGUG
rnacentral:rRNA from 1 species